rnacentral:tRNA from 1 species
GGUGCAAGUCCCAGUAUCCCCA